rnacentral:snoRNA from 1 species
UGCCACUUAGUGUUACUUGGUUAUUUGAUGUCAAUAAUAACUACAGUGUCAAUGUUGGCAGAAAUAAACUGGAUGUUGAUGGUGUCUUUGAGCAUUUCAUUAUUGAAUGUGCUUUCAUUGUCACUUCCUACACUA